rnacentral:SRP_RNA from 1 species
AUACGGGUCCUGUGCGACAAAUUACCGUGAACCAUGUCAGGCGGGGAACCGAGCAGCAUUAAACGGUGGAUUUGGGUGCCGCAGAUUCAUCUGUGUACC